UGCAUUCGGCAACAAACGAAAGUUGUAGACGUAAUGGAAAGGAUAACAUCUCUGAAGUGGAAUUGGGCAGGACACAUUGCGAGAAUGACAGACGAACGUUAGACCAAACCAUAAUGAAUUGGAGACCACCAAUGACACGACCAAUGGGCAGACCACCAGAAAGAGGGACGAACUCGAUCAAGCGAAUGGUGGGGACAAACUGGCAGCAAAUGUCAAUGGAUCUACUAAAAACCUAGCUAAAAAUUUUCAUAA